rnacentral:rRNA from 1 species
AACGAACGCUGGCGGCAGGCUUAACACAUGCAAGUCGAACGACCUCUUCGGAGGUAGUGGCAGACGGGUGAGUAACACGUGGGAACGCACCUUUCAGUCAGGAAUAACUCAUGGAAACGUGAGCUAAUACCCGAUACGCCCUUUUGGGGAAAGAUUUAUCGCUGAAAGAUCGGCCCGCGUCUGAUUAGCUAGUUGGUGGGGUAAUGGCCUACCAAGGCGACGAUCAGUAGCUGGUCUGAGAGGAUGAUCAGCCACACUGGGACUGAGACACGGCCCAGACUCCUACGGGAGGCAGCAGUGGGGAAUAUUGGACAAUGGGCGCAAGCCUGAUCCAGCCAUGCCGCGUGAGUGAUGACGGCCUUAGGGUUGUAAAGCUCUUUCGACGGGGACGAUAAUGACGGUACCCGUAGAAGAAGCCCCGGCUAACUUCGUGCCAGCCGCCGCAGUAA